rnacentral:rRNA from 1 species
GAUGAACGCUGGCGGCGUGCCUAAUACAUGCAAGUCGAGCGAACAGAUGAGGAACUUGCUCCUCUGACGUUAGCGGCGGACGGGUGAGUAACACGUGGAUAACCUACCUAUAAGACUGGGAUAACUUCGGGAAACCGGAGCUAAUACCGGAUAAUAUAUUGAACCGCAUGGUUCAAUAGUGAAAGACGGUUUUGCUGUCACUUAUAGAUGGAUCCGCGCCGCAUUAGCUAGUUGGUAAGGUAACGGCUUACCAAGGCAACGAUGCGUAGCCGACCUGAGAGGGUGAUCGGCCCCACUGGAACUGAGCCACGGUCCAGACUCCUACGGGAGGCAGCAGUAGGGAAUCUUCCGCAAUGGGAGAAAGCCUGACGGAGCAACGCCGCGUGAGUGAUGAAGUUCUUCGGAUCGUAAAACUCUGUUAUUAGGGAAGAACAAAUGUGUAAGUAACUAUGCACGUCUUGACGGUACCUAAUCAGAAAGCCACGGCUAACUACGUG